UCAAGAUUAAUUAAUUAGUUAAUUAAUUUUACGAAAGGUUCGUAUUGGGCUUUUAAGUUGGUUUUGGGUUACGGCGCCCAAAAGCGUUUUGGUCCACAAGGCCCAUUAUGUUUAGGUUGUAUGACAACUAAAACAAAAUGGGCAAAUUAGCCCAAUAACAAGGAGAGGCCGGCCAUUAGGGUGAAUGGUGCAAACUUGGAUUAAUUACAAGUUUGCCACUCACUUGUAAUGAAGUAUAAAAGCAACUUUAUAGCUUUAUUUUCAUAAAGGGUUUUCUUUGAGGCAAAGAGGUGAAACUUUUUCUCUCUUUCUCUCUACAAAGAGGCCGGCCACUUAGAGAGAUUAAUCUAACAAUCUUUUCUUCUCUAAGUCAUCCAUUUCAUCUUCACACUUAACCCUUGGUGUUUUUGGAGAUCCUUUCCUUACAUCUUCAAGGACCAAAGGAGCACAAAAUGAGAAGGAAAUCACAAGCAAUAUCCAAGGAGCUUGGAGGUGACUUGAAGGCCCUCCACUUGGGUGAAUCCCUUGUGUAAACAAGGAUGAGCUUCAAGGGUAAAGAAACUCUAAAUCUUUACUUCUCUUUAAUGUUGUUAAAGAGUUUAUUGGUUCACCAUAUACUAGGCUUUGAAAGUCAUGGGUUUUAUGAAUUGUUUUUUAAUGCAUGCCUACUAUAAAGUGUUAAUAGUAUGCAUAUGUAUUCAAAUGUUCUUUCUUGUUCUUAGCUAGGACAAAAUUUUUCCUUCAAGUGGUAUCAGAGCCUAGGCCUAGUUUAUGGUGAAUCCUUUUCGGUUUUGUGAUUUUCAUGAUUUAUGAUUUAAAUGUUGUAAAUGUUACAAGCUUUGUUCUUGCUUUUGAAUAUAUAAAUUUUGCUAGAAAAUUUAGCAUCUCAAAUGUUGUAGAUGUAUUUCAUUUAAGCAUGAAUAUUGGAACUAAAAUUUGGUGCCAUGUAUUUUGGGAAAUUCGGCCAAAUCCAAAGGGUGAUUUUUUGGGUUCAUGUUUGUCUUGUUAAAAUGGUUUUAAGGUGACUUUUGGAACCCCUAAGUACCCUAGGAUAUUAGCCCUCUUUUGAGUGGUGAAAAAUUGAGUUUUGGUGAGUGAAAACAUUCAUGGAGCUAUUAUGAGUUUUCAUGGUGUUCUUCAAUGUUCUUGAAGUUCUUGCCAAGAACAAAAAAGGUUUGAAGUUUUGAUUCAAAAGUUUUAUGUUUUUUCAUAAAGUUUCGGUUUAAUUUUGAUGGGUGAUAGUUAUUGGUGAAGCAUUAAUAUUGGCUUUAAUGUUUGACAAAACUCUUUAAUGUUUUACAAAACAUUUUCUUACAAACCAUCAAUUUCACCUUUACCUCACCCACCAAAAUCAACUUGCAUAAAAUCCCUUUCACACUCAUUCACACUCCAAAAACCGGCCACCCCCUAGUGGGGGUACUUUUGGGGCCUUUUAUGCAAUUACAUAAAGUUUUGAUACUUUUGUGUAUUUGCACUUUGGCCCAAAAGUUUACGUUUUUACGUUAAGGCCCAAAAACUCUAAAGGACGAAUUGUUUUGAUCCUUUAAUGAUGUUUUUACAUUAUUAAAAUUUUGGGUUCCAGUUGAAAUUACAUGAAGUUGUGGACUUUUGUGUUUUACAAAGUGACCCCAAAAGUUUGUGUUUUUGCAUUGUGGCCCAAUUGUUGUGGUCAUAGUUUCCUUUUGGCCCAAAUAAAAUGAGAACAAAAUUGUUUUGUCUCUUUAAUGAGAAUUGGAUUUUCAUUUCAUUUAGUUCCAUUUAAAUCAAUUCUAUGGAUCCAAAAACCAAUUGUUUAAGUUGCUUUCUUAGUUAAUGUGAUUAAUUAAGAAAAGGGUGAUUAUGAACCAAAGGCCUCGAUAAUUGAGCUAUGUGAUUGGCCGCUUUACAUUAUGAAUGUUUGGGUUUGGUAUUGUAGAUUUGAAUGUAAUUUGAUUAAUUCAAUUUGUUGUAAAUGGACAUAAGUCCAUCAUUUGUGUUGUAAAAGGGCAUAAGCCCUUCUUAUUAUUUCAUGUAUUCCUAUUUGUUUAAUUGUAUGCAAAAUGGAAUAGUUGGGUCCAACGCCCAAUAGGAAAUAACGGUUUAAUUGGAUUAAACGCGUAACUAAAAUCAACAACUAUCUACCUUAAACCCAAGGUCCAACACAAGGCUUGUGUUGGAUCAAAUUAAACGGUUCAUAAUCAUCCUAAAAACCUAAUAUGACUAUAUAGUCCAUAUGAGGAUGCAAUGCAUUCGUUAGUAGUUCCAUAUAGUCUCACUUAUUUCUUCGAAAUAGUGGGAGUAUUAUAAACUACUAAAUUCAUAUUAACUUGGACCAAUAGUUGUGAUAGGCCCAUGUUCUUUUAAUAAGAUUAAAAUGAUUUUGAUGUAGCCCAAAACUACUCCCUCGACAAACGAAUAUUAAGUUGAUAAGCGAGAGAUGUUUUGAACAUCUCUUCGUAGGCCUUCCACCGUAAUGGGCUCCAAUCGUUUGUGACUCAUGCACCGGCUUCACCCUAUCAUGGGAGAGUUCAAAGUAUGUGCUUACAUCCAGGAGGAGUCCAUAAACAUAUGAUGAGGUGAGUGUAGGCAACG
rnacentral:lncRNA from 1 species